rnacentral:rRNA from 1 species
UACGUAGGGUGCAGGCGUUAAUCGGAAUUACUGGGCGUAAAGCGUGCGCAGGCGGUUUGCUAAGUCAGGUGUGAAAUCCCCGGGCUUAACCUGGGAACUGCGCUUGUAACUAGCAGGCUAGAGUGUGGCAGAGGGGGGUGGAAUUCCAGGUGUAGCAGUGAAAUGCGUAGAUAUCUGGAGGAACACCGAUGGCGAAGGCAGCCCCCUGGGCUAACACUGACGCUCAUGCACGAAAGCGUGGGGAGCAAACAGG